rnacentral:miRNA from 1 species
ACACUCUCUCCAUUUCUCUAC